rnacentral:lncRNA from 1 species
GGAAUCAUACUCCCCGCAGAAUGAAGUCAGAGAUGAAGUUAGGGUACGAACGCAGAGAGUAGGUUAUGUAAAGUGAGAAACUUCAGAGAACGGAAGUCAUUUUCGUUUUUAGUUGAUCCUUUCUGGCUGUUUGGCUGAUAGCUGCUCUUGGGGACAAGGCUGCUUCCUGCUCUUCCUUUGCUUGCCUGCCUACCCAUCUCCUCUAUUAAUGGAAGAAAAAUCUCUCUCCCUAAGUUUCAUUGUCUCUGCUAACUAAACAACCUGGGUUUUCUUCCUUCCAACUUCCUCUAUCAGAAAAAAUCAGGUGAAAGUACUGUUCUUGACUGACAGCUGAAAUUGUAGAUGGAGUUAUGCCAGCCAUGAGUUUCAAAAUGUGUAUACGAAUUGAAAAAGGAAGGAGGAUAUAAAGAAUUCUAAGAAAACUAAAAUCGGACCUUACAUAGAAAUGACUUGGUGCUUAGGUAACCUGAAAUUUGCACCUACUUCACCUGAAGAUGAUGAGGAUGAAGAUGAUCCACUUCCACUGAAUAAAUAGUAAAUACAGGAGCUGAGUGUGGUGGCACAUGCCUGUAGUCCCAGCUACUCAGGAGGCAGAGAUAGAAGGAUUGCUUGAGGCCAGAAGUUCGAGUCCAGCCUGAGUAAGAUAGUAAGAACUUUCUCUCUUAAAAAAAAAAGUAUUUAAAGUAUAUUUUUUAUUCUUUAUAAUUCUCUUAAUGUUUUCUCUAGCUUACUUUAUUGUAGAAAUACAGCAUAUAAUAUAUAUGACAUGCAAAAUAUGUGUUAAUUGACUGUAUUAUCAGCAAGGCUUCCUGUCAACAAUUGGAUAAUAGUUAAGCUUUUGAGAAGUCAAAAGUUAAACACAGAUUUUUGAUUGUGUGUGUGCGGGAUUGGCAUCCCUAAUCCUCACAUCGUUCAAGCAUCAAACAAUAUUUUAAAUCAUUUCUAGAGUACUUA